AGUAUUUUUGUGGGCUCGGGAUGGGAUGGGAGCGACAAUUGAUUCCUGUGUCACCCUCUAGUUUGUACAUCAUCUAAUCCCUCUACUCACGUCUUAGUCCUAGCCUUAGCCUGAGGAGGCAAGGAAGAGACAUGAGGAAAAAGGAGUCGAGGCAACAGGCAUUUAACAAAAGGAGACAUCUGGGCUUUGGAGCCCACGCCUCUUUUAGUGUAUACGUCACAGGUGUCAAAAAGACUUACACAAAGGGUACACCUGUGCAUCCAGUUAUAGGUCCUCCGGCAAGCCUACUCUCUCCUAGAGAUAUAUUUUAGGAAUUGAGACAUCCUUCAAGAUGGCGCGCUGAGAUCGAUUUCCAGAUCACAGGCAGAGGAUGGAGGAGACGAGGAGGCACGAAAAACAGAAAUGAGAAGAGCCCUUUGUUGUUGUCACCAGUGCAUUGUGGGAUAUUUAUGCCGGUGUAGUGUCCAGUGUGUCACGGCCUGGCCAUGACUCGGGAUGCUGUUUUCCUUUUUUUGGUCAUGUGUGGAGUGAGUGAGUGUGUGUAGGCGUGGUCUUUCCAUCAGGGCACCUGGCUCUCCAGCGCAGCUGCAGGCAAUUCACCAAUCAAGCUCCAGCACUAGUGCUCCUGUGAUCCAGGCAGCCAGCGCCAGUUCGUUUCAGUCCGUCAAGCGACGCUGAAGGUCUACCUACUCCUCGCUUCCAGCCACGCCACCAGCCCUGUGUGUUUUCGAGGCUGCCGUGCCUAUCUCCACUCCUCCACUCCAUUUGGGUCACCAUCCUCCUACGUGGAUUUACAAGAUGUCUGUUCGGCUGACCUUACAUUAAAGAACUGUUAACUCCCAA